rnacentral:lncRNA from 1 species
AUCUUACUGGAGAUCCCUGUGUACUAGAGGCCUUCUGAAAAGGAGCCUUCUGUGCUGUGUUUGCCAGGAUUUUUUUGGAAGCUGCUUUUUGAAGAUUUGUGUGUCUUCUGCACAGCACAUGGUGCAGUUGAAAAAACAAAAGAAAUCAAGCCUACAGAAACAGUUUUAUGAGGGGUGGGAAAAUUUAGUUGUGUUUAAAGUGACAAAUAGUGCAUGUAAUUCAGCACCUCUGAGAGCUUUAAUUAAUGAUUUGCCAUUAGCUCCUUAAUGUGCAUGUAUCAUAAGAAUGUACUCCUGUUCUUUUGGAUUGUUGUGCUAAGAUUGAGGUUGAUUUUUCCCUGCAUGCCACAGAGGUGAAUUUAUGAAGGCGCAAAAUUGAACUGUGAGGAGACAACAAAAUGGCAUGCUAGUUUCACCCACAUUGUGAAUAUCAACCUUUUAUUGUUUUGAAGAAGUAUUAGUCAAAGAUAUUAAUGUACAUCAUGUAUUUGGAUUAUUCCUUUUUGUUCUGAACUUAGGCAGUUCCCUCUGUCAUCCUUCCCCUCUCCCCUCUCAGCUGCUUUAAUGAUGGUCUUUCUGCGUUUCGGGCAGGAUAUGCCAUCCUUUUUCUUGUAGCAGAUUAAUAUUGUUGCUCCACACAGACCCACUAUAGAGUGUGAAAUACUUCAAAGAGUGGUAUGCAGAAAUAAUCAGUAGGUUUGUAAAUAUUUUCUACAACUUAAAAAUGCCUCAUUGCCAUGCUGGAUAUGGUCACUUGAAGUGAUACAUAUUUUUCAGGCUAUGAAGAUUAGCCUUAUUUUCAAAUAAACAGAAGAGGUAUGUGAAGAUGGCUGAAUUCGUUAAGCCAAAAUGUUCAGUGAGUGGUUAGCAGCCAUUAUUUAGGGAAAUGCAGGCUUUAACCUAGCUUGAUAUCUUAGUAUAACACUUAACCUAUGCCUUCUCUAUUAUUAAACACUCAAAUCUAGGUUAACUGUGCUGCUUAGUGAGCACGAGCUGCUGAAGAGUGUUCAUUUCCUUGCUCUUUUGAAAUAUUCUCUUGAGGGAGAAUAAGCAGUAUUUAAAACAAAACUCAGCAACCUUACCUGACCCUGAGUUAUUCCUGGGACAGCCUAGAUAGUGACUACUGAUGAUUCUGUGUCUGCCAAUUUAAAAAUACAGGUUUCAUCGACCUUGUUUUGAUUGUAUUGAGCAGCACACACCACACUCCUUCUGUGUGAGAGAGGUAGAGAGGAGAAAGCAUAAAAAAGAUGCCAAUCCAAAGGUGCUGAUUAAAAUAAAAUCCUUUGGAGAACUGCUGUAACUAAAUCAAGUAAUUGUAUUGUAUUUUGUCAAGUAUUUGUAUUGUAUUAUCCGUAUUGUAAUUUUGCCAAGUGCUGGACCUCCUCAACAGGGUAGCACAAGGGACUGAGUUGCCUUCAGCUGGAAAAACUGAUGAAAUAUACUUCAAAACAGUUAACUAAAGAGUGACUUCGCUGUUGUUUUCCCCAAGCACUCUAAGUAAUCAAGUGCACUCGUGUUACCAUUAUGGUUCCAGCAGUGUUGUGCAGCAACGUGUAGUGGGUCCAUUUUCUCAUGUGCAGAUUGUCUGUAAUGCUAUAAACUAGAUUAUCACAGCAUUUGCCAGUGCCCUGCAUUCUCAAAAUGCCCAUCCAUCCUUCAGACAUCUGCAAUCAGCCAACUGCUAUGGACUUGGCCAGCCAAUGCUGCUUGGCAAAUAGAAAGGCGGUCUCAUUAAAGAUCGUUUGAUUUAACAUACCUACUCAGAGAAGUGGAUGACUAUUCAUUUACCUUGUGAGAUAUAAAGACUAAUAUUUCAACGGAUUGUGAUUUGAGCUUGGAAUGACAGCGUGGCCAAUUCUGUUGUUGCUUUUUUUCCAGAAGCAAUUUAAAGUGAAAGUUAGUCUUUUUGUAAGUUUAGUUGUUUCAAAACUACAUGCACUCAUUUUACAAACCAUUUUAACCAUUCGCAUUCAUAUGAAUAAACAUCUUUCAUAUUAACAAU